GGGGGGGGCGGGGGGGGGGCGGAGCGCAGGGGGGGCGGGCGAGCGUUUCGGGGGUAGUGGCGGACGGGUGAGUAACACGUGGGAACGUGCCUUUAGGGUCGGAAUAACUCAGGGAAACUUGUGCUAAUACCGAAUGUGCCCUUCGGGGGAAAGAUUUAUCGCCUUUAGAGCGGCCCGCGUCUGAUUAGCUAGUUGGUUGAGGUAAUGGCUCACCAAGGCGACGAUCAGUAGCUGGUCUGAGAGGAUGAUCAGCCACAUUGGGACUGAGACACGGCCCAAACUCCUACGGGAGGCAGCAGUGGGGAAUCUUGCGCAAUGGGCGAAAGCCUGACGCAGCCAUGCCGCGUGAAUGAUGAAGGUCUUAGGAUUGUAAAAUUCUUUCACCGGGGACGAUAAUGACGGUACCCGGAGAAGAAGCCCCGGCUAACUUCGUG
rnacentral:rRNA from 1 species